rnacentral:rRNA from 1 species
UACGUAGGGGGCAAGCGUUGUCCGGAAUCAUUGGGCGUAAAGCGCACGUAGGCGGCCCUGUAAGUCCGUUGUGAAAGUCAAAGGCUCAACCUUUGAAUGCCGAUGGAUACUGCAGGGCUAGAGUCCGGAAGAGGCGAGUGGAAUUCCUGGUGUAGCGGUGGAAUGCGCAGAUAUCAGGAGGAACACCUAUGGCGAAGGCAGCUCGCUGGGACGUUACUGACGCUGAGACGCGAAAGCGUGGGGAGCAAACAGG